ACGCUCGACACCUACGGGAGGAGCAGUAGGGAAUCUUCCACAAUGGACGCAAGUCUGAUGGAGCAACGCCGCGUGAGUGAAGAAGGUCUUCGGAUCGUAAAACUCUGUUGUUAGAGAAGAACACGAGUGAGAGUAACUGUUCAUUCGAUGACGGUAUCUAACCAGCAAGUCACGGCUAACUACGUGCCGNNGCGCGUAUCGUANGNGGCNGGCAGGCAG
rnacentral:rRNA from 1 species